rnacentral:rRNA from 1 species
AUGGAUGAGAAAUGGUUCAAUCUGACACAGGAGGAGAACGGCUACUUGCUGCUUCCCGAAGAACCUGAUCCCUUACGCACCUUGCAUCAUAAGGAUAGCAUUGCGAAGGUGAUGUUUCUUGCGGCCGUGGCUAAACCAAGAUAUGGCAAUGUUGGUGUCGUCACGUUUGAUGGUAAGAUAGGCAUUUGGGCCUUUGUCACAGAGUCUCCGACUCAAAGGAGUGAAAAUAGAGAAAGAGGGACACUUGAACUCAAAUCAUUGAAAGUUACAAGAGAUGUAAUGAGGUUCUGUAUGUGUGAGAAACUAAUUCCAGCUAUCCAUGAUAUGUGGCCUGAUGAAGAUGAAGAACGGACCAUCUUUAUCCAGCAAGAUAAUGCUACACUGCAUCUUAAGCCUAGUGACGAGAUUUUUCGACGGGCCGUAGAACAGACCGGUCUGGAUAUCAAGUUGAUCCAGCAUCCUCCAAAUAGCCCCGACCUGAAUAUUCUUGAUCUCUGCUUCUUCAGGUCUCUCCAGUCGCAUACUGAUUGCAGAGCACCUCAAAGCAUAAGGGAAUUGAUAGAAGGCGUGGAGGAAGAAUAUCAAAACUAUGAUGUCAACACGUUAGCUCGAAGCUUCAUGACACUGCAAUCAUGCAUGAGAGAGAUUAUGAGAGAAAAAGGAGGGAUAGGCUACAAGAUUCCUCACAUGCAAAAAGAGCGCCAGCAGCAAGAAGGAAGGCUUCCUAUUGCUCUCUCUUUAAACGUUGAGCUAGUUGAGCAUACCUUAGCACUUAUAGCAGCAGCAGACCUCGAGGCAGCAGCAGCAGCACCUUUGAAGCGGAGAAAGAGAAAGAGGAGCAGCAGCACCCUCCAAGCAGAGAAAGGGAAAGAAGACCAGCAACAUCCUCCAAGCAGCAGUACCCUACAAGCAGUAGCAGCAGCACCACCACCUUCGAAGCAGAGAAAGAGAAAGAAGGGCAGCAGCACCCUCCAAGCAAAGAAAGGGAAAGAAGCAGAGAAAGGGAAAGACGACCAGCAACAUCCUCCAAGCAGCAGUACCCUCCAAGCGGCACCACCUUCGAAGCAGAGAAAGAGAAAGAAGAGCAGCAGCGCCCUCCAAGCAAAGAAAGGAAAAGAAGCAGAGAAAGGGAAAGGAGCAAUUACAUGUCAUUUUUUUGUAUUAAUGUCAGUAAAGGAAAGAAGUAACAGGCAGAAUUCCAAAUCAAAAUUGACCGCUGACCGAGUUCAUCUCUGUUUGUACUAA